rnacentral:rRNA from 1 species
AACGCUAGCGGCAGGCUUAACACAUGCAAGUCGAGGGGUAGAAUAGCAAUAUUUGAGACCGGCGCACGGGUGCGUAACGCGUAUGCAAUCUACCUUUUACAGAGGGAUAGCCCAGAGAAAUUUGGAUUAAUACCUCAUAGUAUAGUGAGUUGGCAUCAACACACUAUUAAAGUCACAACGGUAAAAGAUGAGCAUGCGUCCCAUUAGCUAGUUGGUAAGGUAACGGCUUACCAAGGCAACGAUGGGUAGGGGUCCUGAGAGGGAGAUCCCCCACACUGGUACUGAGACACGGACCAGACUCCUACGGGAGGCAGCAGUGAGGAAUAUUGGUCAAUGGGCGCAAGCCUGAACCAGCCAUGCCGCGUGCAGGAUGACGGUCCUAUGGAUUGUAAACUGCUUUUGCACAGGAAGAAACACUCGGUCGUGACCGAGCUUGACGG